UAAUUUUUUUGUAUUUUUAGCAGAGACGGGGUUUUACCAUGUUAGGCAGGAUGGUCUCGAACUCCUGACCUUGUGAUCCGCCCGCCUCGGCCUCCCAGAGUGUUGGAAUUACAGGCCUGAGCCACCGCGCCCAGCCCAUUCUGUCCUUUAAAUCGCCACUCAGCACCUUUUCCAGAAGUCUUCCCUUAGCAAACCCUUUGUUUUUCAUUGCAUGGGUGGUACAUUAGUUUGACUGAUUUUGUUCUCAAAAAGAUUUUGUUUUCACUAAGUGAGAACAAUAACUCUUCGGUUGGGUUUUUUUCUGUUCUAAGAAUAAUUAAUUUGACAUAGUAUGUAAUCUCUUGAGUUCCAUAGUUAUGGUCUUGAUUUAUUUUACUGUUUUGAAAAGGAAUGUUACAUGAAAAAAAAUGGCUGUUUUACCUUUUCUGUUUUCUUUUUCUUUAGAUGAAAGGUUGUAUCAAAGUUCUUAAGGACCAACCUCCUAAUAGUGUAGAAGGUCUUCUAAAUGCUCUCAGGUACACAACAAAACAUUUGAAUGAUGAGACUACCUCCAAGCAAAUUAAAUCCAUGCUGCAAUAACAAUUCUGGAAUAAGCACCUGCUGUAGACAGAAGACAGUAUUCUGCAAUGACUGAGAAUGCA
rnacentral:sRNA from 1 species